rnacentral:rRNA from 1 species
GGGAGAAAGCAGGGGAUCGAAAGACCUUAUGCUUUUGGAGCGGCCGAUGUCUGAUUAGCUAGUUGGUAAGGUAAUGGCUUACCAAGGCAACGAUCAGUAGUUGGUCUGAGAGGACGACCAGCCACACUGGGACUGAGACACGGCCCAGACUCCUACGGGAGGCAGCAGUGGGGAAUUUUGGACAAUGGGCGCAAGCCUGAUCCAGCAAUGCCGCGUGAGUGAAGAAGGCCUUCGGGUUGUAAAGCUCUUUCAGUUGAAAAGAAAAGAUUGUGACUAAUAAUUGCAAUUCAUGACGGUAUCAACAGAAGAAGCACCGGCUAACUACGUGCCAGCAGCCGCGGUAAUACGUAGGGUGCGAGCGUUAAUCGGAAUUACUGGGCGUAAAGGGUGCGCAGGCGGUUCUGUAAGUCAGAUGUGAAAUCCCCGGGCUUAACCUGGGAACUGCGUUUGAAACUACAA